CUGGAGGGUGCUGAUGUCCCUAAAACAAACUCCAACUAAAGAGGCAGAAUUCAGUGCAACAAAUAUUUAUUUUAGGUGCCUCUCUAAGCAAAUCUGGCCCUGUCUACUGUCACUAUUAAUGUCUUUAUGGCUUACAUUGUUGACCGAUCCAGACCCCCUUCUCCUUAAAGACACAGCCUACCACCUUGCAGUGGCAAAAUACCCUUCCCUCAGAGUACACAAUUGGGUGCAGCAUCCAGGUUCUUGCUCCCUCCUGUCACUCACUAUCACCUGCCUAAGAUGCAGUCAACCCGGGGCCUUGUAGUGACAAGGGCAAAGGGCUGCCUCCGCUGGCACAGGUGGCGUGGGGGGGGCAUAAGAGAAAUGCGGCAAGACUGCUUGCCACCCUCGCUUAGCUGCACCUAUCACACUGCUCCUGGCCUGGGAGCCCCAAGUCUAGAAUCCGUGGCUCCCUCCCGUCUCGAGAUCCCUUGCUCCAGCUCCAACCAAGGAUUCCUCUGACAAUGUCCCUCUCCUAGUGGCCGUUAGCUCGGCCCAAGAACUGGCUCUCCGGCCGGGGCAGGCGCAGGAACCGUGUGGGAUUCUCUGGCUCGCGGUCGGCACUAAGGGAGCGCGCGCCCCCGCGCGCCUGCGUACUCGUGCUCGUUCCCGGGCAUCCCUUCCCCGAACUCAGCUGGGGGGAAGGUUCACUGCUAGAGCAGGGCGGGCGGAGGGAAGACGUGGAGUGCUUCCCGUGCGGGGUUUCCCACAAUGCACCUUCGGCGGCGGCGGCGCUCUAGCCGGGGCAUGUCUGCAUCUCGACUGCUCUGGGAGGAGGAAGAGAAGGAGGAAGAGGAGGAGGAGGAGGAGGGGGAGGAAGAGGAGAAAGGCGCAGGGGUGGGAGCUAUUGCUGAAGCUGCCACCACCAAAGUUUCUCCCCCCUCCCCCCCUUCCCCUCCUCUCACGGCCCAUAGAAUGGCCGGAACCGCUGCCGCCCCCGGUUGGUGACCGCGCUGUUCGCCGCCCGCGGAUAAAGAGAGGAAGCAGCAGAUUGGAAGCUCAGCCUAGAGACUUGACAUAAUGGGAAUCUACUUGGCCUACUAUAUGGAGGUAGGCCAGUUGUGGUUUAUUUGUCCUUUAGAUUUUACAUGUAACAGAUUGGACAGACUUAGAUAUACAUUUGUGUUAAAAUAAAAAGUGUGAAGUAGUAUUUACCCUGGAAGUC
rnacentral:lncRNA from 1 species